CAGUUACUAUGUGCCGUUUUAUGUUCUUCAGUACUAACUGCUUUCUCUGUAAAGAUUCCAUCUUUUGUUACAUUUGCUCCUAUGUGUAUUACUAGGACAGAGUAAAAGGACCAAGUGGGUGAUUAAAUAGUUAAUCUCACUAGGAGACUGCAAGUAAAAAAAUAUUGCUAUAUUUAUAUAGCUAUACAUAUAUAUUUUUUAAGCUAUAUUCUAUAGGCUAAUAAUCAUGUAAGAAAGCCACUUUUCUUAACCACAAAACACAGCAGGCUUGAUUAGCAACAAAACCAUGCAACAAAAGCAUGGGACAUGUCCCCAAACGUUCAAACAAUGGUGGCAUGAGACCCACAUCCUGCCAGUGAGCUAAGUAAGUUAAUAGUCCCUAGCAUAUGCUCUUUGCACGUGCUAGGCUUUUAAAAAGUAUACAAAUGUGGAUCCCUCCUUAGCCAAGGGACAGACCCUUUUGAGCAUAUAUUUCAUAGUGCAGUCUGCUCCAGCCAUCAGACACAAAAUUCAAAAAACUGAUGGUCAUCAGAUCCCUAUGAAUGACUUGCUACAAUUGGCUUAUUUGGUUUUCAAUAAUAGGGAUAUGGCCAAAAAGGUGGAAUGAACACAGAGAGAUAAAGAAAAAAACCCAAAUGAUGACAAAGUCUUUGUCCACUCAAAGACCACCAAAAGACCAGGAUUUCUGGGCCAGUUUGGCCACGGUAGACCACAAGGCCCAUGGGUACCCAGGCAAAAUCAGUGUGCCCUGUGUGGGCAGAAGGGACACUGGAGUAAAGACUGUGAUUGAUACUUCCUUUGCAAACAGCCAGGUCAUUGGCAGAGGGAAUGGCCCAGAUGCCAGUAUGGCAGGGGCCCCUCUGCCUUUGAUGGUUUCACCAUCUAAAGAUUGAUGGGGUCCAAUGCCUAAAGUGGCUCUGCCUUAGAGACGCCACCUACAUAACUAACGCCAAGACUCAGGUGGUCACUGAAAUGGCGGACCACUUGAUAAAAUUUCUCAUAGACACUGGUGCAGCCUUCUCAGUCGUAACCGAAAAGGUUGAAAACCUUAACGACUGUAAGAAAUAGGUAAUAGGAAUCAGUAUCAGUUCAGCCACUCAGUUGUAUCCGACUCUUUGUGACCCCAUGAACCAUAGCAUGCCAGGUCUCCCUGUCUAUCACCAACUGCCAGAGUCUAUCCAAACACACGUCCACUGAGUCAAGGAUGAGAUGGCUGGAUGGCAUCACCGACUCGAUGGACAUGAGUUUGGGUAAACACCAGGAAUUGGUGAUGGACAAACACAAGAGAAGACUCUACACAUGGACAUCACCAGAUGGUCAACACCGAAAUCAGAUUGAUUAUAUUCUAUGCAGCCAAAGAUGGAGAAGCUCUAUACAGUCAACAAAAACAAGACCAGGAGCUGACUGUGGCUCAGAUCAUGAACUCCUUAUUGCCAAAUUCAGACUUAAAUUGAAGAAAGUAGGGAAAACCACUAGACCAUUCAGGUAUGACCUAAAUCAAAUCCCUUAUGAUUAUACGGUGGAAGUGAGAAAUAGAUUUAAGGGCCUAGAUCUGAUAGAGUGCCUGAUGAACUAUGGAAUGAGGUUCGUGACGCUGUACAGGAGACAGGGAUCAAGACCAUCCCCAUGAAAAAGAAAUGCAAACAAGCAAAAUGGCUGUCUGGGGAGGCCUUACAAAUAGCUGUGAAAAGCAAAGAAGAAAAGGAAAGAUAUAAGCAUCUGAAUGCAGUGUUCCAAAGAAUAGCAAGAAGAGAUAAGAAAGCCUUCCUCAGCAAUCAAUGCAAAGAAAUAGAGGAAAACAACAGAAUGGGAAAGACCAUCCCCAUGGAAAAGAAAUGCAAAAAAGCAAAAUGGCUGUCUGGGGAGGCCUUACAAAUAGCUGUGAAAAGAAGAGAAGCAAAAAGCAAAGGAGAAAAGGAAAGAUAUAAGCAUCUGAAUGCAGUGUUCCAAAGAAUAGCAAGAAGAGGUAAAAAAAAAAAAAAAAAAACCUUCCUCAGCAAUCAAUGCAAAGAAAUAGAGGAAAACAACAGAAUGGGAAACACUAGAGGUCUCUUCAAGAAAAUGAGAGAUACCAAGGGAACAUUUCAUGCAAAGAUGGGCUCGAUAAAGGACAGAAAUGGUAUGGACCUAACAGAAGCAGAAGAUAUUAAGAAGAGGUGGCAAGAAUACACAGAAGAACUGUACAAAAAAGAUCUUCACAACCCAGAUAAUCACAAUAGUGUGAACACUGACCUAGAGCCAGAUAUCCUGGAAUGCAAAGUCAAGUGGGCCUUAGAAAGCAUCACUAUGAACAAAGCUAGUGGAGGUGAUGGAAUUCCAGUUGAGCUAUUUCAAAUCCUGAAAGAUGAUGCUGUGAAAGUACUACAUUCAAUAUGCCAGCAAAUUUGGAAAACUCAGCAGUGGUCACAGGACUGGAAAAGGUCAGUUUUCAUUCCAAUGCCAAAGAAAGGCAAUGCCAAAGAACGCUCAAACUACUGCACAAUUGCACUCAUCUCACAUGCUAGUAAAGUAAUGCUCAAAAUUCUCCAAGCCAGGCUUCAGCAAUACAUGAACCGUGAACUUCGAGAUGUUCAAGCUUGUUUUAGAAAAGGCAAAGGAACCAGAGAUCAAAUUGCCAACAUCCGCUGGCUCAUCAAAAAAGCAAGAGAGUUCCAGAAAAACAUCUAUUUCUGCUUUAUUGACUAUGCCAAAGCCUUUGACUGCAUGGAUCACAAUAAACUGUGGAAAAUUCUGAAAGAGAUGGAAAUACCAGACCACCUGACCUGCCUCUUGAGAAACCUAUAUGCAGGUCAGGAAGCAACAGUUAGAACUGGACAUGGAACAACAGACUGGUUCCAAAUAGGAAAAGGAGUACAUCAAGGCUGUAUAUUGUGACCCUGCUUAUUUAACUUAUAUGCAGAAUACAUGAUGAGAAAUGCUGGAUUGGAAGAAGCACAAGCUGGAAUCAAGAUUGCCAGGAGAAAUGUCAAUAACCUCAGAUAGGCAGAUGACAUCACCCUUAUAGCAGAAAGUGAAGAGGAACUAAAAAGCCUCUUGAUGAAAGUGAAAGAAGAGAGUGAAAAAGUUGUCUUAAAGCUCAACAUUUAGAAAACGAAGUUCAUGGCAUCUGGUCCCAUCACUUUAUGGGAAAUAGAUGGGGAAACAGUGGAAACAGUGUCAGACUUUAUUUUUCUGGGCUCCAAAGUCACUGCAGAUGGUGACUGCAGCCAUGAAAUUAAAAGACGCUUACUCCUUGGAAGGAAAGUUAUGACCAACCUAGAUAGCAUAUUCAAAAGUAGAGACCUUACUUUGCCAACAGAAGUCCGUCUAGUCAAGGCUAUGGUUUUUCUUGUCAUCAUGUAUGGAUGUGAGAGUUGGACUGUGAAGAAGGCUGAGGACCAAAUAAUUGAUGCUUUUGAACUGUGGUGUUGGAGAAGACUCUUGAGAGUCACUUGGGCUGCAAGGAGAUCCAACCAAUCCAUUCUGAAGGAUAUCAGCCCUGGGAUUUCUUUGGAGGGAAUGAUGUUGAAGCUGAAACUCCAGUAUUUUGGCCGCCUCAUGUGAAGAGUUGACUCACUGGAAAAGACUCUGAUGCUGGGAGGGAUAUGGGGCAGGAGGAGAAGGGGAUGACAGAGGAUGAGAAGGCUGGAUGGCAUCACUGACUCAUUGGACGUGAGUCUGAUUGAACUCUGGGAGUUGGUGAUGGACAGGGAGGCCUGGUGUGCUGCAAUUCAUGGGGUCACAAAGAGUCGGACUCAGCUGAGCAACUGAACUGAACUGAACUGAGGGCUAGUGCUCUGGGAGUCUAGAGUCUUGGAGUCAGUGCUCCCACUCCAAAGGUUCAAGGUUUUAUCUCUGGUCAGAAAUGAAUAUUCUACAAGUGAUUUGUUAUGGCAUUAAGGGAGAGUAAAACAAAUAUCAAAAAAACCAGGAAACCAAAGAUGAACCCCAUAUCAAUGGCAAUUAAAAAAUCAGGCAAAUAAUAAUUAUGUAUGGCUGUGCAAGGACUGUCUCAUUCGAAUUCCAUUUAGUCUGCCACAGAUCAGUUGUUUCACUCUCAGCCUUAAAUGUUUCCCCUCUGACUCAGAUAAUUGCCCUUAAGUGGGUAUAGAACCCCUGCAUCAAUUCCCCACCCACCAAGUGCAGGUCCGGUCCUACUAACACUCCUGUUUUUCCCCCUAGUUCCUUUGUCCUACUGAGUUUUGCCUGGUUCUAUAUAUUCUUUUCCAGUGAUCAAGUACUCCUUUCUGCUCUCAGCUGGUGUUCUGCAUGUACUUCUGUGUCUAAAGGUGUAUUCCUGAUGUAUCCAUGGAGCGUGAUGUACUCCGCAUCCGCCUGCUCCUCUGCCACUUGUCCUCCCGGCUUUCAUUUUUCUCAUACUAAUACAGAUAUCACAAUGUUCUUUCACUAAGUAUCUGCUGAUAUAUCUUUUAUAUUAUUUAGCUUAAAACUCUCUGUGCUUAUUGUUCAUAUUUUCUACCUUUUUUGUAAUGUACUUACUGUUUAUUUUCUCUCUCCCACUAGAAAUUGCAUUUCAUGGUCACAGGAAUAUUUGUAUGUUUGACUCAGUGAGGUACUGAAAUAUCUAGAACAACGCUUGGCACAUAACAGGAUCUCAAAACAUACUUGUUAAGCUAAUUUCAUGAUGUAAUUUAUAGUUUAUAUUUAACUGGACAUUUUCCCGUUUUAAUCUAAACCCGGAAUCUCUGUUUCUUGUUUUCUUGCUGUUGUUGUUCAGUCUCUACUGCAUGUUUGGAGUGGGUAGCCUAGGGGCUCUUCUUACCCCAGGGAUUGAACCUGGGACUCCUGCACUGCAGGUAGAUUCUUUAUCAUCUGAGCCACUGGCUUGAAUACAAAUAUAUACAUAUAUAUGUGUGUGUGUGUGUGUGUAUAAAAGAUAUGUGU
ensembl:lncRNA